AUCGCUUCUCGGCCUUUUGGCUAAGAUCAAGUGUAGAAAUAAAGUUUAUAAUGAAAAAUACAUUUAUUUUAGCAGUAAAAAAAACUGCU
ensembl:snRNA U2 U2 spliceosomal RNA